rnacentral:rRNA from 1 species
AACAAGGAUUCCCUUAGUAACGGCGAGUGAACCGGGAAAAGCUCAAAUUUGAAAUCUGGCUGUCUUCGAUAGUCCGAGUUGUAAUCUAUAGAAGUGUUUUCCGUGCUGAACUGUGUCUAAGUCCCUUGGAACAGGGUAUCAAAGAGGGUGACAAUCCCGUACUUGACACAAUCAUCAGUGCUCUGUGAUACACUUUCUACGAGUCGAGUUGUUUGGGAAUGCAGCUCAAAAUGGGUGGUAAAUUCCAUCUAAAGCUAAAUAUUGGCGAGAGACCGAUAGCGAACAAGUACCGUGAGGGAAAGAUGAAAAGCACUUUGGAAAGAGAGUUAAACAGUACGUGAAAUUGUUGAAAGGGAAACGAUUGAAGUCAGUCGUGUUCAUUGGAUUCAGCUAGUUCUUCUAGUCUACUUCCUUUGAACGGGUCAACAUCAGUUUUGUCCGGUGGAUAAAGGCAGUAGGAAUGUGGCUUCUUCGGAAGUGUUAUAGCCUAUUGUCACAUACACUGGAGGAGACUGAGGACUGCAGCUCGCCUUUUGGCCGGGGUUCGCCCACGUUCGAGCUUAGGAUGUUGACAUAAUGGCUUUAAACG